rnacentral:rRNA from 1 species
CUAUGGUGAAUGCCUAGGA